AGCCGAAAACGCUAAACCAACCGUGAGGUUGGGACAGAAAGCCAAGGGUCUCACCGAGACAGCCGGGAUGCCGAA
rnacentral:ncRNA from 1 species